rnacentral:lncRNA from 1 species
AUGUUACUGAAACGUUUGCAAUAGACCUGAAAGAUUCAACCAAUAUACAACUUCAAAGAAUGUAUAGAUUUUUAAAUUAAAGUUAUUUGUGGAAAAAAUAUCCAAGGGUAAGUGCACUCAUGAGCAACCUUGAAUUUAAGACUUUGAUACACAAUUGAUGCAAGUGUUAUAAACACCCCAAGAUCUAACCACAUUUAAACUAUUUGAUGUGCUAAAUUUAUAGUAAAAGAAAUCUAUUACAACAUAAUUUUAACUAUUCUCGUCCAAAGCAAGUGCAUGUCCUCCUGAAAAAUGCACAAGAUGUCAUUGCAAAAACAUGGUAGAUUGCUAAUUGGCUGUUAGAGGUAUUUGUUUCCAUAGAAUACUUAUACAUAGUUUUGGAGACACAAGUUUAACUCACAAAGUAAUACUUCUAUGAUGGAACUAACCGUGUAAAUCUUACACAGUCCUAAUCUUGCACGAAAACAAUUUGACAGGAUACUAACCAUGGAAUAGGGAAGGAAAUGGAAAGUUGGGACACCUGUUUUCAUUGUUUCUUGUAGAAAUCUUGGAAACAGGAAACAAAUAGAAAACAAUUUGACAGUUUUGACAGUUUUGCAAUUAUAAUUAUAAGUAAAAGAGACAUGAUAACAGUAAACGUUUUUUGAAAACCAAACAGACAGCAUAUCAUUGUAGUAUCUAUCUAUUUUCCUGAAGUUCAAUACAUGGAUCCAGAAAAUGCAUUCUUCCAAAUACAAACAGUGAAGGGCAAUGAUAGUUAAGGAAGACAGCAAAUGAAAAUUUAAACGGUUAUAUAUAAUGUAUGCAUGUUAAAAAUAGCGAAGUACCAUCGAUUAUGUCUGAAACACUAACACAACACUCACAAUUGGACAAAAUAACUACAAAGAAUACAGCAUUGCUUUAAAACUCUGAUCAACCUAACUACACUCCAAAGUAAACACCAUCAGAGAUUAUACAAUGUGGAGUGUAAUUAUAACAAAUCAAACAAGAGGGUUAGACUCCAGAAACACUGAAAAGAAGCAACCGUUCUUCCUUUUAAGAAACACGGUAUGAUGGGAUUAUAUAAUACUCCAUGAAGCAUUGACUUUUAAUAUCUCAGAGAUGAAUCAAUAUUGUUGUUGUAAUGUGAGCAUUUGAAGUAUUUCAAAGCAGAAAGAGAACUGAGAAAUAGCAUCAUAUGAUAUUUUUUCUUUAAAGCCAACUAAUUGAAAUAGAGAGAACAAUCCACUUUCCCCACUUUUCUUGAGUAUCAUUGAGGGUAUUUAUAAAGAAGAACACUACGAUGAUAUCAUAGUUAACAAUAAUACCAUAAAGGAAAUGUGUGACCUUCAUCAUUCAUAUAUAUAAUUGUUUCCUCAAAUCUUGGUUUCUGUAAAAUUAAUUAAGGAACAUUCCCCAUUGCCUCAUUAGCUACUUGAACUGCAUUUCUGAUAUAUUCAGGAUUGCCCUUGUAACAUUUUUAUUUUAAACACAAUUGUUUCACCAUGCUUUUUCCCUUCUCUGUACCAAUUUAACAAGCUACACUACCUCCUUAUAUAUACAAAAAUUGUAUCUAUCUAAUAUGUAGAUUUUAAGGCAAUGUAGUGAAAAACGUGUACUUAACAAUGUCCCAAAGUAAAUGCCCUGGCAUGAAAUUUAACUAUCAAAUGUUUAAACACCCAAACAUCAUUAGAGUCCAAAACACAAACUAAAAAAAAUUAAACAGCUGAUCAAAGCAAAAUUGAUUGAGCAAUAGAAUACAAAAAAAUUACCUUGUCAUAAAAUUCGGAAUGGAAAGCCAGAUACAUAACAAGAGAGAGCAGCAGCAAAAAAGAGAUGUCAUGUCAAAAUAACGAACAGCAGGGGGGAAUGGAGCACCCUAAUGUAGGCCAAACCAUAACUCAGAAGGAAGCAGCAAGAUUCCUUCUCACUAGUCCACUACCCAGCCCACUGCAACAAGGGAAGCAGUGUAGAACAAACUAAAGACACAAGCAAUGACAAUUGCAGGUCAAAUUACUAAGAAAACAGAGAUAAAAUUACUAGAACCUAAAAUAAUAUAGAGAUCAAAAUUGAAACCUUAAAAUUUUAGAAAAAUAAAGGAGAAGGACAAAAGAAGAGUUGACAAGGCAGCUUACCAAUGGUAAAAUUUAAGGGUGAAGUGGUGAAAGGGAGAGUGAGAAAGGCAACACAAUCAAAUAAGCUAUGUGAUGUGAUGGAUGCGACUCAACUAUGAAGAGAGAAAAGAAGCAAAGCUUCUUCGACAAAGAAAAUGGCAAUGAUAAAGCAACAACAGCUCACUUUUGCAAUUAUGAGAAGUUCAAAAUGCUCAGUUGAUUAAACAUUAUCAGGACUCAAAUAAUACUUUCAACAAGUUACAGGCAAUCAAUCUGCACCCUUACUAGUGGACCAUAUGUUAUGGUACUCCACCCUAGAAGCCACCACAAAAC